UACAGAGGUCUCAAGCGUUGUUCGGAUUCAUUGGGCGUAAAGAGCUCGUAGGCGGUCUGUCGCGUCGGCUGUGAAAACCCGGGGCUCAACUCCGGGCCUGCAGUCGAUACGGGCAGACUAGAGUUCGGUAGGGGAGACUGGAAUUCCUGGUGUAGCGGUGAAAUGCGCAGAUAUCAGGAGGAACACCGGUGGCGAAGGCGGGUCUCUGGGCCGAAACUGACGCUGAGGAGCGAAAGCGUGGGGAGCAAACAGG
rnacentral:rRNA from 1 species